CGUGUUUUGAUUUUGAAAAUUUUUUUGAGUUUGGUUUUUAUCUUUUCUUUGUUUUUGAAUUUUUAAAAAUGGAAAAAUUUUUUAUUAUUAAAGAAUCAUUGGAAAAAAUUAGCAAAUUCGGUGUUCAGGGACGAACUCUCGAAUUUAAGAUUAAAAAAAUACCCGAAGGUACAGAACCUGUUUGAUGGGUAAAAGGGUAUUGUUUCAAAGGGGACAGAGGGGCUAAAUCCUACUGAUAAAGUAGGCUUCACAUUCUGUUCCAAGGACUUUACCAAGGGUGAUGGAUGGAUGUCUUUUAAACGUGCCUCAGAAGUGACUGUUGAUGAUGUUUGGGACGUUAUCUCAUCCAUCUAUCAAUCCAAUUCUCGACCGGUCUCAAUACGGAAACUUUCUGUUUGGGGGUUAUGUCUGUACGUAUGCCUGUAGGUAAGGGACGUCAUCAAAGAUACAACAACUUUGAUGAAUCAUCUUCGAAUACUCGUGGUAUUGUUGUUAUAAAAAAUAAAGAUAACAUGUGCUCACCUCGUGCUCUUGUCGUCGCUAUGGCUAACGUAUAUAUAGAUCCUCUCUACACUAAAGUUAGGAGAGAUAUUGGAAAACUUCAGACUGCCAGAGCUUUGGAACUGAUGGAAGCUUCAGGGGUUUCCAUUCCUUCCGAGGGAUGUGGAAUACCAGAUUUUUUUAUAUAUUUCAACAAUAUCUAAAAAUUAUAAAAUUAUUGUCUACAACUAUGGGUCAAAAGGUCGUGAUGUCAUUUUCGAAGGUACAGACAAAGGUUCUUCGUUGAAUUUACUCUACCAUGAGGGCCAUUACAAUGUAAUUACUUCGUUAACUGCGGCGUUUUCGUGUAGUUAUUAUUGUAAGGAAUGCCAUAUUCCUUACAAUAAUAAUCGGGAUCAUAGAUGUGGAGGAACCUGCCCUGGUUGUCAACAAUCACUUGUUUGUACCCCCGACGAGAUCAAGGUUAAUUGUGAAUCUUGCAAAAGAUCUUUCCGUGGAUAAGUAUGCUUCGAAAAUCAUAUGAAGCAUGGCAUUUGCGACCAGAUACGUCGCUGCGAAGAGUGUUUUAAAAUCGUACCACACACACGCAAACAUGUCUGUGGAGAAAUCUUUUGUAAGAUUUGUAAUAAACACCAGCCUUCAAGACAUCUUUGCUACAUCCAAUCUGAUAAUCGUAUUCCAUCAUUGAAAGAUUUUCUUUUCGUUUUUUAUGAUUUGGAAACACAACAGGAAAGGGUACUUGAUGACGGUUCACGUAUACAUGAACCAAAUCUUUGUGUAUUUGUUCUAAAUGUGGUCUAAGAUUACAAGUUGUUAAAUAGUGAUCCGAUUUCGCCGUUCAUGCAUCAUAUGUUAAGUUUUCGCAAAAAAUUUGAAAAUAUUGUCAUACUCGCACAUAACGGAGGCGCAUUUGAUCAUCAAUUUAUUUUAAAUUAUAUCCUGACCAAAACAGAUUUAAAGCCAUCUUCCGAUGGCUUUGUGUAAACUUCCAUCCUCCUUCAAUUUCUCAGAGGAAAAGGAGUAUUUUCCUCAUCUUUUCAAACGCAGUGAAAAUCAAAGUUACGUUGGACCAAUACCUGAUAUUAAAAUUUAUGACCCUGAUAAUUUUUUCUUUUAACGCUAGAAAUUCUUUACUAAAAUGGUGAUCAGAAAAGAGAGAUGAUCCUCUCAAAGAUAACCCCUCUGAGACUUUCAAUCUUCGAUUCGAAGCCACCCAAGCUAAGAUUGAAAGAUUGAAAUCUCUGGGGUAUAAAGUCAUAGAAAAAUGGGAUUGCGAUUUUCGAAAAGAAUUAACGGAUGAAAUUAAAAAAUUUUCAGAUCCUCUUCUAAAUCAAUCACCUCUAAAUCCAAGAGAAGCUUUCUAUGGUGGCCGAACUGGAAAUACUUACACAUACUACAAAACUAAGGAGGAGGAAAAAUUAAAUAUGUAGAUGUAUUUUCGCCUUACCUCUGGGUUUGUAAGUAUGGAAAGUUUCCUAUCGGACAUCCGAAAAUUUACAUUAAUAAGGAAUAUUCUUUAAUAGAUCUUUCUAGUAUUAGUGGACUCAUUAAAUGUAAAAUUCUUCCCCCUCAUCAAUUGUUCCACCCCGUUUUAUCGAUGAAAAUGAAUAACAAGUUAAUGUUCGUUCUUUGUCGUGUGUUUGGGGAAAAUCUCAAUUCAGGAGAAUGUCUACAUUCAGAUAUAGAGCGUUCGUUAACGGGUACUUGGGUGAUUGAAGAGGUUUUAAAGGUACUCGAAAUGCGGUACAAAAUACAAACUAUUUUUGAAAUUUGGUCAUAUGAGACAAUUCAGGCUGGAAUAGAUGUAAUAGGAUUGUUUACCGAAAUGAUAAACAAAUUUAUUAAAAUAAAGCAAGAGUCGUCCGACUGGCCGAAAAAUUGUCGUACACAGAAGGAAAAAGAUAAUUAUAUAGAAAGAUUUUUACAAAGGGAAGAUAUUCAGUUGGAAUUUGAUAAAAUUUGCAAUAAACCGGGUUUGCGCUCCCUGACUAAAUUUAUGCUAAAUUCAUUUUGGGGUAAGUUUGGUCAGCGUGAGAAUCAACCAAAGACAACAAUUGUUAAUCAACCUGUUGAAUUCUUCUCUAUGAUAAUUAAUCCUUCAAUAAAUGGGAACACAAUUCUAUCGAUCCAUGAAGAUACUUUAAUUGUUAAUUAGGAAUAUAUGGAUGAAUGUUACGACCCUUUGCCCACGGUUAAUGUUGUUAUAGCGUCAUACGUUACAGCUCUUGCGCGUCUGAAACUUUUCAGUUACCUUGAAAAACUGCAAGAAAGGGUACUCUAUUACGAUACCGAUUCUAACUUUUAUGUUUCCAGACCUGGAGAAUCUGACAUUCCCACAGGUGAAUUCAUUGGUGAUAUGACUAAUGAAUUAGAGUCCUAUGGUCCUGAUGCAUAUAUUACGGAAUUUGUGUCUGGGGGCCCGAAAAACUAUGCUUAUAAGACCUGUUCAGGUGAUGUUGUAUGCACAGUUAAAGGUAUAUCCCUUUCUUAUUCUGCAGCUCAACAGGUUAAUUUUGAUUCUAUGAAGGAAAUGGUAAUAAACGAUUCGGCUCCUAUAAGCGUAGCUUCGAGGCAAAUUAGACGAACGAAAGAGCAUGAGGUGAUGACUUGCGAUUGUACAAAAAUAUAUCGGCCUAACUCGACAAAGAGAAAGUAUCUUCCCGAUCACAGUUCUAUUCCUUACGGUUUUAAAAAACUGAAAUUUUAAUUUUUUUUUGUAAUAUUUUAUAAAUGUAAGACGUUCAAAAUAAGAUGAUGAUUCAAAACAUAAAUAAUGAUCCGAUAGUGGUGAUAACACAAUAAAAGAUCCGUUUCAAUUAAUUUUGAAAAAAAUAAGAAAAAACAAGUGUUGCCUCUUUUAAAAACUGAAAAAUUGUUGUAUUAUUUCAAAAUAAUUUUAUGAAUGAAUAAAAUAUUCAAAACACAGAUAAUGAUCUACAAAAAAUUAACUAGUAUAAAAAGUAUUAGAGUCUUGAACCAAAAAUUCCUAAGUUUUUGAGGAAAAUCCACAUUUGUUCUCUUUUGUUUUUUAUCUUAUUCGAAUAUGGUUUGAGGAAAUCCAUUUUUCACCUGAAGUUCUUCUCUCUUAUUUUCUUGUUCGAAUAACUACAAUUUAAAAAAAUGAGUUAUUAACGUUUAAGUGAAUUUUUAUAUAUCAAAUAUAAGAAAAAAAUCUGAAGAAUAAUGUGUUAAGAGUUCAAGUUUCGAGUAUUAUUAUUAUUUUUAAGGAAAAAACCUAAAUUAUUGUUUUGAAUUCUCAACGUAAAAAAUGUAAAUUAUUAUUUCUACAAUAACUACUCCUAUUUCAUUAUAAAAUUCAUUUAAAUCACAAAAAGUAAUAUAAUGAUUUCAGAGAGAGAGAGUGAGAGAGCGUGUCUAUAUUCUAUUUGAUCAAGAAUUUUUAGAUAGAUAGAUCAGACUCUAAAAAACUUACCUUUUCCCUGCUUUUACUUACAAAUAAAUUUUAUACAUUUUGAUUCACUUUUGGUCAACCAACGAAUAUUAACACACACAUAAAACUGAAAAGUUUACUGAAUGUUCUUUUUCACAUAUGUGUAUAUCACAGACACAGGAUGAGGCUUUUCGAUAACACUGACAUGAUUUCAUAUGGUAUGAUAAAAUAUAUUUUGUAUUCAGUUUUACGCUGAAUAUUUCACUUAAAUUCAAUUAAAAAAAUAUACGAGGUAUUUUGAAAUUAGGAAAAUAACAUAAAUUUUAAUCAUGGUUUCUAUGUAUAUUAAUAUGGGGUGAAUGAUUCGUGUGCCGAGAGAGUUCUUAUGAAAUUUAAAUGUUUUUACUAUUUUAAAAGUAUUAGUCCUAGUUCCCCUUCGUAUAUUCUAGUUUUUUCUAUAAAUUCAUUCAUUCAAUUAAAAACAAGACAGUUUCAAAAUGAAUAGUCAAGAGAGUGUUUACCAAUAUUGAAGACAAUGGUGGUCGAGAAAUGAAAGAUGAAUCAUUUUUCCUACUUAAAUCAGUAUAUCGUUGUAGUGAAUAUGAUAUAAGCUGUGGUCUUAGUCCAGCCCAAACCUUUCAGUCCUGUUAUAAUUCUAAAGAAAUUUCAUAAUAGAAAUUGUAAAAUUUCCUUCAAUACAUACGAAUGGGGUUGUUCCAUCGAAUUACUUCAACAAAAAUUGGGAGACUUUUUCAGCGUGACUCAUUAUUCGGAUGAGAAUGACCUGAUGGUGUUUGCCUUUAAUGAUUUCGUCAAAAUUACACAACUCAUAUAUGAUAAUAACGAGGAAUUGUUAAUAGUUGAAAAACAUGGUGUCGAAUAUUACCUAUAACGGAUAUGAUGUAACUGAUAUACUUGAAGUUAAUCAAAAAGGAAUAUGGCAUUCCUCACAAUAAUAACCGCAUGAAAACGCUGGGGUUAACGAGGUAAAGAAUGUUUUGAAGGACUGGAAUGUUUAUUUUUUUAUUCACACCCUAUGCCAUAAAAAGAAGACGCAAUUCCAUAGUUCACCUACCACGAAACCAAUUUGACACCCCAAUCGUAAAGCUGCUGCUGCUACUGGAACUUUUUGGAUUCAUAGAUAUAAGCAAACAACAACAAGUACCGAAUAUAAUUCAAACCAGAUACAUAUUUAGUGUAAUUGGAUGUAACUAGUUUAUACGGUUGGGCAAUGUGUGAAUUUCUACCUUACGGAGGAUUUGAGUGGAUCUCAGUAUCGGAUGAUUAACAGGGGAUAUAUGUAAAAAGUGAAUUUAGAAUAUUCUUCAUAUACAGGAUUUCAAUUUGAAACUUCUUUCUACCUUAGCCUUGAGCCCCUGUCUUUUCGAUUGUAUUUACUAGAUUAUACCUGAUACAAUUUUAUUAAUUCAAAAUUACUGAUUACACACACAAUGAAUUUAGAAUAUUCCACGCUAAAAGGUCCAGAGUGCAGGGGAGUAGACGAUAGGGGGUUAAAAUUGAUGGUUUCGUUGGAAUCUAGUCUUUGAAUUUCAAGGGUGUUAUUUUCAUGGUUGCCCAUCUACACUCUGGACCUUUUAAGAGCUAUUAUAUAUAAAUAAAAUAUUUAAAUUUAAAAA